rnacentral:misc_RNA from 1 species
AACGCACAUUGCGCCCUCUGGCAUUCCAGAGGGCAUGCCUGUUCGAGCGUCAUUACAACCCUCAAGCCUAGCUUGGUAUUGGGUGUCACCAGCAACCGGUGCAUCUUAAAGUCAGUGGCGGUGCUAUUCAGCUUCAAGCGUAGUAAUGUCUCGCGCUUCUGGAGCCUGGGUGUGCUCUUGCCAGCAGCCCCAAUUUUUCAGGUUGACCUCGGAUCAGGUAGGGAUACCCGCUGAACUUAA